rnacentral:lncRNA from 10 species
AACAGGUAUGCAGGCUUGGAGGUGAGAAGGGCCUUGGCAGGGUUAUACAGAUGUGAUCAAGGAUUUUACAAUGGAGAGAUAAUACUGGAUUAUCUGGGUGAGCUCUAAAUGUAAUCCCAUGCAUUCUUACAAGAGGCAGGCAGAGGGAGAUUUGACACAGACAGAAGAGAAGGCAAUGUGACUGCGAAUCAGAUAUUGAAGUAAUGUGGCCGCAAACCAAGGAAAGCCAUCAGCCUUCAGAAGAAUCAAGGAAUGAAUUCUCCUCUACAGCCUCUGAAGCGAACAAAACCCUGCCAACACCUUGAUUUCAGUCGAGUGAUAAUUAUUUCACACCUUUUGCCCCCAACAAUGUGAGAGAAUAAAUUUCUGUUAUUUCAAGCCAUCAAGUUUGUAGUAAUUUGUUACAGCAGCCAUAGAAACCUAAUAAACU